GAAAGUAAAUAAGGGCACACGGGGGAUGCCUAGGCUCUCAGAGGCGAUGAAGGACGUGAUAAGCUGCGAUAAGCUUCGGGGAUUAGCAAAUGUGAGAUUGAUCCGAAGAUUUCCGAAUGGGGCAACCUAGCAUACUGAAGGUAUGCUGUAAAAUACGCGAACGCGCUGAACUGAAACAUCUAAGUAGGCGUAGGAGAAGAAAAUAAUAAUGAUUUCCCAAGUAGUGGCGAGCGAACGGGAAAGAGCCCAAACCAACUUUGUUACGGCAUGGUUGGGGUUGUAGGGCUGCGAAGUGGCAUUAGCAAACAGAAGUGGAAUGGGAUGGGAAGCCCAGCGAUACACGGUGAUAGCCCUGUACACGUAUAGAAUGCUAGCCUAGCAGUACCCUGAGUACCGCGGGGUCGGAGACGCCCUGUGGGAAUCUGUCAGCACCAUCUGAUAAGGCUAAAUACUCCUGAGAGACCGAUAGUGAACUAGUACCGUGAGGGAAAGGUGAAAAGAACCUCGAACAGAGGAGUGAAAAGAACCUGAAACCGUGUGCUUACAAGCGGUCGGAGCUGGCAGGUCCAGUGACGGCGUGCCUUUUGCAUAAUGAGCCUACGAGUUACUCUUGUCUGGCAAGGUUAAGUGGUUCAGCCACGUAUCCGAAGCGAAAGCGAGUCUUAAUAGGGCGCAUAGUCAGAUGAGGUAGACGCGAAACCUUGUGAUCUACCCUUGGGCAGGUUGAAGUUGCAGUAACAUGUAAUGGAGGACCGAACCGAUAAACGUUGAAAAGUUUCCGGAUGACCUGAGGGUAGGGGUGAAAGGCUAAUCAAACUGGGAAAUAGCUCGUACUCCCCGAAAUGUUUUUAGGAACAGCGUCGGCAUGGAGUCUUAUAGAGGUAGAGCUACCGAUUGGGUGCGGGGGAGUCAAAUCCUACCAAAUCCAGACGAACUCCGAAUGCUAUAAGAUAUGGCCGGCAGUGAGGCUUUGGGUGCUAAGGUCCAAGGCCGAGAGGGAAAGAACCCAGACCAUCAGCUAAGGUCCCUAAAUAUACGCUAAGUUGAACUAACGAGGUCCGAUUGCCUAGACAGCUAGGAUGUUGGCUUGGAAGCAGCCAUUCAUUUAAAGAGUGCGUAACAGCUCACUAGUCGAGCGAUCGGGCGUGGAUAAUAAACGGGCAUCAAGUGUAUUACCGAAGCUAUGGAUUCAUACUGAAAUAUGUAUGUCUGGUAGGGGAGCAUUCUAUUUACGGCGAAGCGGUCUGGUAAUGGUCCGUGGAGUGGAUAGAAAAGCAAAUGUAGGCAUAAGUAACGAUAAGGCGGGUGAGAAACCCGCCCACCGAAAGACUAAGGUUUCCUGAUCAACGCUAAUCGGAUCAGGGUUAGUCGGGGCCUAAGGCGCAUCCGAAGGGAGCAAGCCGAUGGACAACUGGUUAAUAUUCCAGUACUUUUUAUAACUGCGAUGUGGUGACGGAGUAGUGACACUGCCGCGAACUGACGGAAUAGUUCGUUAAAAGGCGUAGGUAUAGGGACGGUAGGCAAAUCCGCCGACCCUGCUGAAACCCAAUAGUACAGCAAAGCUUCGGCGGCGCUGAUAGAGCAGGUAAACAGACUUCCAAGAAAACCCGCUAAGCUUCAGGUUAUAAAAACCCGUACCGUAAACCGACACAGGUAGUCGAGGAGAGAAUCCUAAGGUGCUCGAGUGAAUCAUGGCUAAGGAACUCGGCAAAAUGGCCCUGUAACUUCGGGAGAAGGGGCGCUUCCUCCAGCAAUGGAGAAGCCGCAGUGAAAAGGCCCAGGCGACUGUUUAACAAAAACAUAUGGCUUUGCAAAAUCGAAAGAUGAAGUAUAAGGCCUGACACCUGCCCGGUGCUGGAAGGUUAAGAGGGGAUGUCAUCGCAAGAGAAGCAUUGAAUCGAAGCCCCAGUAAACGGCGGCCGUAACUAUAACGGUCCUAAGGUAGCGAAAUUCCUUGUCGGGUAAGUUCCGACCUGCACGAAUGGUGU
rnacentral:rRNA from 1 species